rnacentral:rRNA from 1 species
AUUGAACGCUGGCGGCAUGCCUUACACAUGCAAGUCGAACGGUAACAGGUUAAGCUGACGAGUGGCGAACGGGUGAGUAAUGUAUCGGAACGUGCCCAGUCGUGGGGGAUAACUGCUCGAAAGAGCAGCUAAUACCGCAUACGAUCUACGGAUGAAAGCGGGGGAUCGCAAGACCUCGCGCGAUUGGAGCGGCCGAUAUCUGAUUAGCUAGUUGGUGGGGUAAAAGCCCACCAAGGCGACGAUCAGUAGCUGGUCUGAGAGGACGACCAGCCACACUGGGACUGGGAAACGGCCCAGACUCCUACGGGAGGCAGCAGUGGGGAAUUUUGGACAAUGGGGGCAACCCUGAUCCAGCCAUGCCGCGUGCAGGAAGAAGGCCUUCGGGUUGUAAACUGCUUUUGUCAGGGAAGAAAUCCUUUGGGCUAAUACCCUGAGGGGAUGACGGUACCUGAAGAAUAAGCACCGGCUAACUACGUGCCAGCAGCCGCCGUAA